rnacentral:rRNA from 1 species
AGCGCAACCCUUGUCCUAGUUACCAGCACGUUAUGGUGGGCACUCUAAGGAGACUGCCGGUGACAAACCGGAGGAAGGUGGGGAUGACGUCAAGUCAUCAUGGCCCUUACGGCCUGGGCUACACACGUGCUACAAUGGUCGGUACAAAGGGUUGCCAAGCCGCGAGGUGGAGCUAAUCCCAUAAAACCGAUCGUAGUCCGGAUCGCAGUCUGCAACUCGACUGCGUGAAGUCGGAAUCGCUAGUAAUCGUGAAUCAGAAUGUCACGGUGAAUACGUUCCCGGGCCUU